AGCAGCCGCGGUAAUUCCAGCUCCAAUAGCGUAUAUUAAAGUUGUUGCAGUUAAAAAGCUCGUAGUUGAAUUUCGGGAUCAAUAUGUUGGUCGUGCCUUUGGUACGUACUAGCUUAUUGAUUUCUCCCUUCUGACGAACCAUGAUGUCAUUAAUUUGGUGUCAUGGGGAAUCAGGACUGUUACUUUGAAAAAUUAGAGUGUUUAAAGCAGGCUUACGCUUGAAUAUAUUAGCAUGGAAUAAUGAAAUAGGACGUUUUGAUUCUAUUUUGUUGGUUUCUAGGAUCGACGUAAUGAUUAAUAGGGAUAGUUGGGGGCAUUAGUAUUCAAUUGUCAGAGGUGAAAUUCUUGGAUUUAUUGAAGACUAACUACUGCGAAAGCAUUUGCCAAGGAUGUUUUCAUUAAUCAAGAACGAAAGUUAGGGGAUCGAAGACGAUCAGAUACCGUCGUAGUCUUAACCAUAAACCUAUGCCGACUAGGGAUCGGAUGAUGUUAAUUUUUAAUGA
rnacentral:rRNA from 1 species